GACCUUACUUGGCAGGGGAGAUACCAUGAUCAUGAAGGUGGUUUUCCCAGGGUGAGGCUUAUCCAUUGCACUCCGGAUGUGCUGACCCCUGUGAUUUCCCCAAAUGUGGGAAACUCGACUGAUACAUUUAUAGAGUUCUGAUUUGUAGUGUUUGGC